rnacentral:rRNA from 1 species
AGUCGAUACGUGUGAGAGCGGCUGUGUUUUUUUAGGGAUGCGUGUAGCUAGUGUGAGUGUGUGCUGGGGCUGGAGAUAUGAUAAGGGGACCCAAAUUUUAUCCCCUCUAGAUUUUUCCCGGGCUCAGAGGGACAAAAAAACGAAAGGAAUUUUUUACCCUCUACUUUUUACGGGAGAAAGCAGGGGACCUUCGGGCCUUGCGCUUUUGAUGACCCUAGGUCGGAUUAGCUAGUAGGUGAGGUAAAGGCUCACCUAGGCGACUAUCCGUAACUGGUCUGAGAGGAUGAUCAGUCACACUGGAACUGAUACACGGUCCAGACUCCUACGGGAGGCAGCAGUGGGGAAUAUUGGACAAUGGGCGAAAGCCUGAUCCAGCCAUGCCGCGUGUGUGAAGAAGGUCUUCGGAUUGUAAAGCACUUUAAGUUGGGAGGAAGGGCAGUAAGUUAAUACCUUGCUGUUUUGACGUUACCAACAGAAUAAGCACCGGCUAACUUCGUGCCAGCAGCCGCGGUAAUACGAAGGGUGCAAGCGUUAAUCGGAAUUACUGGGCGUAAAGCGCGCGUAGGUGGUUCAGCAAGUUGGAGGUGAAAUCCCCGGGCUCAACCUGGGAACUGCCUCCAAAACUACUGAGCUAGAGUACGGUAGAGGGUAGUGGAAUUUCCUGUGUAGCGGUGAAAUGCGUAGAUAUAGGAAGGAACACCAGUGGCGAAGGCGACUACCUGGACUGAUACUGACACUGAGGUGCGAAAGCGUGGGGAGCAAACAGGAUUAGAUACCCUGGUAGUCCACGCCGUAAACGAUGUCGACUCCUUUCCAAGAGAAUUUCGCAUACAAAGAGAAGCUACCUAGCGAUAGCAUGCUAAUCUCAAAAAGCGUAUCGUAGUCCGGAUUGGAGUCCGCAACUCGACUCCGUGAAGUCGGAAUCCCCAGUAUUGGCUCCUCAGAAUUUUGCCCCGGGUACGGUAAGUGGUAACAAGGAAACCAGUAUUGGAUCCUCUAGAGUUUGAUCCUGGCUCAGGAAGUCGUAACAAGGUGCCCAGUAUUUAUCCUCAGAGGGAUAAUCCG